GGGCCCUUAGCUCAGUUGGUAGAGCAACUGACUCUUAAUCAGUGGGUCGAAGGUUCAAAUCCUUCAGGGCCUACCA
rnacentral:tRNA from 1 species